rnacentral:rRNA from 1 species
AGAGUUUGAUCCUGGCUCAGAUUGAACGCUGGCGGCAUGCCUUACACAUGCAAGUCGAACGGUAACGCGGGGCAACCUGGCGACGAGUGGCGAACGGGUGAGUAAUAUAUCGGAACGUGCCCAGUAGUGGGGGAUAGCCCGGCGAAAGCCGGAUUAAUACCGCAUGAGACCUGAGGGUGAAAGCGGGGGACUCGCAAGAGCCUCGCGCUAUUGGAGCGGCCGAUAUCAGAUUAGCUAGUUGGUGGGGUAAAGGCCUACCAAGGCGACGAUCUGUAGCUGGUCUGAGAGGACGACCAGCCACACUGGGACUGAGACACGGCCCAGACUCCUACGGGAGGCAGCAGUGGGGAAUUUUGGACAAUGGGCGCAAGCCUGAUCCAGCCAUGCCGCGUGCGGGAAGAAGGCCUUCGGGUUGUAAACCGCUUUUGUCAGGGAAGAAACGCUCCGGGCUAAUACCCUGGGGUAAUGACGGUACCUGAAGAAUAAGCACCGGCUAACUACGUGCCAGCAGCCGCGGUAAU